CUACGGAGGGUGCAAGCGUUAUCCGGAAUCAUUGGGUUUAAAGGGCCCGCAGGCGGAUUAAUAAGUCAGUGGUGAAAUCCUCUCGCUCAACGAGAGAACUGCCAUUGAAACUGUUAGUCUUGAAUUCGGUCGAAGUAGGCGGAAUGUGUCAUGUAGCGGUGAAAUGCAUAGAGAUGACACAGAACACCGAUAGCGAAGGCAGCUUACUAGACCUGGAUUGACGCUCAUGGACGAAAGCGUGGGGAGCGAACAGAAGUAGAAACCCUAGUAGUCC
rnacentral:rRNA from 1 species